rnacentral:lncRNA from 1 species
GGUUAUGAAGCCCUGUUAAGCGAUUUCUUUCUAUCAAAUUUAAUAGCCAAAACUGGUUUUUAUGCCAAGUCUAUUCUCCACCUUUCUCCAUUAAUCAGUGAAAAAGUGAAAGUAGAACCAGUAUAUUGUGAGGUUGCAUUAAAUGUAGAUGGUUAUUAUCUCACUGAAGAAGCCCUAUGGCAUCCUGAGAAUUGGUGUAAUCAGCACAGAGUCUUCCAUAAACAGUAAGAUCUGGAGAACAUUAUCCUACAUAGAAAUCUCACUUUCUUUUAAAUUUUUCCCAGGAUAUACUCCAUGGCUCUAGUGAACAACUUUGGCUUCCACAGCUAACAAAAGAAUGAAGAACAUGUCUCAGUUUAACCAACAAUUGUCCAUGCCGGGGAGUUAUAGAACCAUCAUCUCCCUCUUCUUCAAGUAUGAGAUACGUCAGGGAUACAGUGAAACAAGGUCUGAGUCCAAAUACUAAUUUGCUCUUCCAUUUACGACCAGUGUGACUUGGGGCAAGUCAUUUACAUCUCCAGACCUCCAUUCUCCGAUUUCUAAAGUGAGGGGGUUAAACUAAAUGACCUCCAAAGUCUUUUCUUCCUCUGAAUAUAUGAUCGCCAGCCCAUGCUCUAGGGCUUUCCCCAUUAUCCAGACCACAUUUCCUCCAGGAUCAGCCUAUUGUGAUUUUUUCCCCUUUCAUAUAGAACAGAAAUAUUCGAUCUGAGCCACAAUUUGAAGUAAUAAGCAACUCGUUCCUUUGCAGAGGAAAAAAAGACAAUUUUCUAGUAACCUUUGGAAACAUCUAAAUAACCCACACAUCUUUAUGGCUGAGUGACUCCUUGGAUUACGGAAACUUUUGAGCUUAUGUUUGCGAAGACUUCCAUUAACAUCUUUGAGCAACCUCUCAACUCAUUUUAAAACAACGGCAUCAUUCAAUAGAAGCAAAUUUAGCCUCUCCAGUCCUUUCCUCAUCCUGCCAGCUUUCCUAAUCACUCCUAUGAUAUGCUCCUGAAACCCUCAUUCAGGCUCCAAUGGAGAAUUCUCACCCGGAGGUCACAAUGUUCUGGGAGUGGAGGCAGAAGGACCUUUACUGUCUGAGGUUAGAGUCUUAUUUUGGUCUCAUUUAAAAUAAACCAACAUUUCUCCCUCCUCA